UCAGCCCCAUAUCAACAUCUCUCCAUUCUUUUCCUUCGUCUUCCCACUUUCGCAUGCCACGGCCGAGACUUCAAGAGCUUUAGAACCAACUCCGACCAUCGCGACUAUAAUGAGGAUUCAACAAGCUCAGGUAACAUAACUAUAAUUCUCUUAUUACUCUAUUUCCAUCUCCUUCUCCCAAACCGAGAGUUCCAAAACUCUCUACGCCGGCCGCCGUGCCGUGGUAGCUGCACUCCUCUCUGAUCCAAGCUUAAACUUGAGACCUAAGCCUCUCGAGUUUCUACUCAAAGACCCAAAAACCUAAGCAAACAGCCAUGUAAUCCAAUACUUCCAAUUCCAAAAUGCUAAACUUGACCGAAAAGAUUUUAUAGCUUCGACCUUCUCUCCUCCGGCUAUGGGAGCACGCAACACUAAGGAUUCGAAAAACUUACAGCACUCUUACGAACCUUCGGCGACGAUCCGAACACAGCAAGAUCAACUCGUCGGUGGUGCUUCACGUGGGAUUUCGAAUGAGAGCCCAGGACAAAUCGAGCAUCUACAAUGCACAUGCAGGAUUGUGUAUGAUGAAUAUGAAGAAGUUCAGAACUGCCCCAUGGUUACCGUGGAGUGGACAAACAGGAUCACCCUGUUUAUAUUGAAGGAAUUGGUAAAACUGACCCUGCCAAGCUGAUGAAGAUCACUACAGUCGAAAGAUUUUUAAAAUAUCAUGUGCAGGGAUUUGAGAAGGCUUUUUUGGAGAAGUUUCCUGCCUGUUUUGUUGCUGCUCAGAGGAACAUAGAUCGUACGACAACAAUAUUAGAUUUCCAGGGGUUGAACUGGGUGAGUUUGGCAAGGUUUCACAUGAUCUCUUGAUGCACAUACAGCACAUUGAUGGUGGCAACUAUCCUGAGACUUUACAUCAAAUGUACAAAGUUAAUGCUGGAAGUGGAUUCAAACUACUGUGGAACACAGAAAAAGGCUUUCUUGAUCCAAAUACUACUGCAAAGGUUCAUGUAUAAUAAGUGCUUAAUUUAGUCAAUAUUU